rnacentral:rRNA from 1 species
AUUGAACGCUGGCGGCGUGCUUAACACAUGCAAGUCGAACGAAGUGGCGAACGGGUGAGUAAUACGUGGGUAACCUGCCCUCCUUAUUGGGAUAAGCCUUGGAAACGGGGUCUAAUACCGAAUAAAGGGGGAUGGGUUCGCGGGCUAUCGGCUUGUUGGCGGGGUGAUGGCCUACCAAGGCGGUGACGGGUAGCCGGCCUGAGAGGGUGACCGGCCACAUUGGGCCUGAGAUACGGCCCAGACGCCUACGGGAGGCAGCGGUGGGGAAUAUUGCACAAUGGGCGCAAGCCUGAUGCAGCCAUGCCGCGUGUAUGAAGAAGGCCUUCGGGUUGUAAAGUACUUUCAGCUGGGCGACGUUACCCGCAGAAGAAGCACCGGCUAACUCCGUGCCAGCCGCCGCGGUAAUUC